rnacentral:rRNA from 1 species
UAGGGAAUCUUCCGCAAUGGGCGAAAGCCUGACGGAGCAACGCCGCGUGAGUGAUGAAGGUCUUCGGAUCGUAAAACUCUGUUAUUAGGGAAGAACAAAUGUGUAAGUAACUAUGCACGUCUUGACGGUACCUAAUCAGAAAGCCACGGCUAACUACGUGCCAGCAGCCGCGGUAAUACGUAGGUGGCAAGCGUUAUCCGGAAUUAUUGGGCGUAAAGCGCGCGUAGGCGGUUUUUUCAAGUCUGAUGUGAAAGCCCACGGCUCAACCGUGGAGGGUCAUUGGAAACUGGAAACUUGAGUGCAGAAGAGGAAAGUGGAAUUCCAUGUGUAGCGGUGAAAUGCGCAGAGAUAUGGAGGAACACCAGUGGCGAAGGCGACUUUCUGGUCUGUAACUGACGCUGAUGUGCGAAAGCGUGGGGAUCAAACAGGAUUAGAUACCCUGGUAGUCCACGCCGUAAACGAUGAGUGCUAAGUGUUAGGGGGGUUUUCCCGCCCCUUAGUGCUGCAGCUAACGCAUU